AUGUGUAUGGCCACCUGGAAGUGGUCGCAAGAGCGACCAGCAGAGGCGCCCUCGCGGCGGAAUGCAGUGGUGCUACACGGUGCCUUCUCCCUGCCGACGACUGUUGGUCUGCACCGCACAGGGAAGAGUGGAGGGCUUGCGAUGGAGAAUGACGAGGAGGGGUGCCCCCCAACCGCCGAUGUUGCAGACUUUGAGGUCGCUGCCCGCGGGGAAAACAGCAUGCCCGCCGCCUGUGGGGGAAACCGCAUGCCCAAUAUCCCCGACGCAACGGACGAGAUCGAGGUCCUUUGCGCAGCGAAGGGCAACUUGGAGGAGCGGCAGCUGCAGACCACACAUCUCCUGCACACGCCGACGCGCUAG
rnacentral:rRNA from 1 species